rnacentral:rRNA from 1 species
GAUGAACGCUGGCGGCGUGCUUAACACAUGCAAGUCGAGCGAAGCACUUGAACCUGAUUCUUCGGAUGAAAGUUCAUUUGACUGAGCGGCGGACGGGUGAGUAACGCGUGGGUAACCUGCCUCAUACAGGGGGAUAACAGUUAGAAAUGACUGCUAAUACCGCAUAAGACCACGGUGCCGCAUGGCAGAGUGGUAAAAACUCCGGUGGUAUGAGAUGGACCCGCGUCUGAUUAGGUAGUUGGUGGGGUAACGGCCUACCAAGCCGACGAUCAGUAGCCGACCUGAGAGGGUGACCGG